rnacentral:misc_RNA from 1 species
UGGACCAUCUUCCUCAUCAAUAAGCGUAAUUCUAAAUUCUUGUUCAGUAAACGGCAGUUCUCCAGCUGUAUAAAGGCUCUUCCUGCCAUCGUAAGCUGGAAGGCGACCACCUAAAUGGGACUCCCGGUAUAGCCUGACCAGUUGCCCCAUGACAGCACGGCAGACACCACGGGAUGUGACGUCAGGUGUCAUUGCAACAUCGUAGUGGUAAAGAUCCUUCUUAGGUAGCUCUGCAAAGAAAUGGUUUGCCUUCACAAUGCAUCUAUCACCAAAAGUGCCUUUGCCAGGACGAAGUGGGUAUCUCAUGGAUUUGCUUGA